rnacentral:rRNA from 1 species
UACGGAGGGGGCUAGCGUUGUUCGGAAUUACUGGGCGUAAAGCGCACGUAGGCGGCUUUGUAAGUCAGAGGUGAAAGCCCGGAGCUUAACUCCGGAAUUGCCUUUGAGACUGCAUCGCUUGAAUCCAGGAGAGGUGAGUGGAAUUCCGAGUGUAGAGGUGAAAUUCGUAGAUAUUCGGAAGAACACCAGUGGCGAAGGCGACUUCCUGGCCUGUUCUUGACGCUGAGGCGCGAAAGCUAGGGUAGCAAACGGG